CCUACGGGGGGCAGCAGUGGGGAAUAUUGGACAAUGGGGGGAACCCUGAUCCAGCGACGCCGCGUGAGUGAAGAAGUAUUUCGGUAUGUAAAGCUCUAUCAGCAGGGAAGAAAGAAAUGACGGUACCUGACUAAGAAGCCUCGGCUAACUACGGGCCAGCAGCCGCGGUAAUACGUAGGGGGCAAGCGUUAUCCGGAUUUACUGGGUGUAAAGGGGGCGUAGACGGCGAUGCAAGUCUGAAGUGAAAGGCGGGGGCCCAACCCCUGGACUGCUUUGGAAACUGGAUGGCUGGAGUGCAGGAGAGGUAAGUGGAAUGCCUAGUGUAGCGGUGAAAUGCGUAGAUAUUAGGAAGAACACCAGUGGCGAAGGCGGCUUACUGGACUAUAACUGACGUUGAGGCUCGAAAGCGUGGGGAGCAAACAGGAUUAGAUACCCGGGUAGUC
rnacentral:rRNA from 1 species